GGGGGGGGAAAGACUGACGGAGCAACGCCGCGUGAGUGAUGAAGGGCUUCGGAUCGUAAAACUCUGUUGUUAGGGAAGAACAAAUGUGUUAGUAACUGUGCACGUCUUGACGGUACCUAAUCAGAAAGCCACGGCUAACUACGUGCCAGCAGCCGCGGUAAUA
rnacentral:rRNA from 1 species